GAGGAGGCCAAGGUGCAACUUCCUUCGGUCGUCCCGAAUCCGGGUUCAUCCGACACCAGCCGCCUCCACCAUGCCGCCGAAGUUCGACCCCAACGAGAUCAAAGUCGUAUACCUGAGGUGCACCGGAGGUGAAGUCGGUGCCACUUCUGCCCUGGCCCCCAAGAUCGGCCCCCUGGGUCUGUCUCCAAAAAAAGUUGGUGAUGACAUUGCCAAGGCAACGGGUGACUGGAAGGGCCUGAGGAUUACAGUGAAACUGACCAUUCAGAACAGACAGGCCCAGAUUGAGGUGGUGCCUUCUGCCUCUGCCCUGAUCAUCAAAGCCCUCAAGGAACCACCAAGGGACAGAAAGAAGCAGAAAAACAUUAAGCACAGUGGAAACAUCACUUUUGAUGAGAUCGUCAACAUUGCCCGGCAGAUGCGGCAUCGGUCUCUAGCUAGAGAGCUUUCUGGAAC
rnacentral:misc_RNA from 1 species